GGUAUGUGGUGCCAAACUAGCUUAGAACAUAUACUGCUUUCUCAGUCUAGACAGGAGACUGCUUCCUGCUGUAGAUGAGCAACCAAGAACUACGCAUGAAAUUGUGCCACGGCUUUGGAAGGAACGGAGCCAGGCCAAGAGAAUGCUCGGCGGAAAUGGAGUCCCUAGAGAAAGCAAGAACAAGAUGGGUGGCAGGAGUAUUAUCAUAAGGAGACGUAUACUUGGAAACCGGAGGAGGAAUGGAGGGAAGAAGGGUAUAAGCUUGAGUCGGGAAAAAGGGAGAUGGUUUGUUAAAGAAGAAUGGUAGAAAGUGUAAGCAGAUGGAGCUGGAGAAAUGGAAGUGAAUGAGGGUGAAGUUAUGGAGAGACCGAGGUAUUCUCCCAGGAUCAGGAACAACACAAGUCUGUGACAGUGUUGCCAACUCCUCAGUAAGGAAAGUAGCUAUUGGCUGUAAAAAAUAAAAAAAAGCUUUUUAUUUUUAUAUACUGUAUUUGUUACGUUCCCCAGUUUCUGUGUUGUAUUUGAGUGUGCGUGUUUCAGGAGAUGGCUUCCUGGAAGCCUUCCCAACCAGCUGAUUGGUCGACCCCAGGCUAAUUGAUGAUUGGAGCUGACCCCGCCCCCUCGUCAAGAAGCAGCUGACUCUAAUCACCAUUGCCACCAGAAGAUAUAAAAGCCAGUGUUCUGUUCAGAAGGAAAGAGAAAAUGAUUAGAGAGAGAUUGGAUAUUUUGGAGAAAUCAUUAGAGAGAGAGAGAGAGAGAGAGAUGAUAGGCAGGCUGAGAUCCUUGCUGGAGAAUUAGAUUGUGAUAUAGUGUUGGUUGUUUAACAGAAAGUGUGGUAUGUAAUGUGUUAGUUGUUGUUAGCAGCUUUGAUAUGUUCUGUGUUUGUUGCUUUGUCAAAGUUUCUUUAGUGGCCUGAGUUAGUUUACUCAGUUUUGUUGUAAAGUGUUUGUGAAAUUGUUAAAAAUUAUUCUGUUUCAUUUGUUCCCAGGGGGGAAGGGGAAGGUGCUUAGGCAAGAGGCCCGAGGACAUACAUAUACCCGUAGUAUAUUCAAUGUCUAGGCACACUAGGUAAGACCUGGGCGGACCACCCCCUGUAUUUUGGUUAGGGCACCAGGUGGUGCUAAGUUAGGUAAGUUAAGUGGGUAGGCAGGUUAGAUAGGAGAGGGGGAGCUCUGAUAUUUAAUUUCUUUCCUUUGGUUCCGUCCAGCCCCUUUUCCCCAUAUUACCGUGUAGGAAAUAAAUCCUAGUAACGGUAAA